rnacentral:rRNA from 1 species
GAUGAACGCUGGCGGUAUGCUUAACACAUGCAAGUCGAACGGACUCUUCGGAGUUAGUGGUGGACGGGUGCGUAACGCGUGAGAAUCUGGCUUUGGGUUCGGGGCAACCACUGGAAACGGUGGCUAAUACCGGAUGUGCCGAGAGGUAAAAGAGAAAUUGCCUGAAGAUGAGCUCGCGUCUGAUUAGCUAGUUGGUGAGGUAAAGGCUCACCAAGGCAGCGAUCAGUAGCUGGUCUGAGAGGAUGACCAGCCACACUGGGACUGAGACACGGCCCAGACUCCUACGGGAGGCAGCAGUGGGGAAUUUUCCGCAAUGGGCGAAAGCCUGACGGAGCAAUACCGCGUGAGGGAAGAAGGCUCUUGGGUUGUAAACCUCUUUUCUUAGGGAAGAACAAAAUGACGGUACCUAAGGAAUCAGCAUCGGCUAACUCCGUG